CUGGGGACGGGUCGCCCCCGCCGGAGGGCCAGGCCGAGGAAGGGAAAUCGAGCGUUAGGGACGUGGUGCAGCAUUUGCUUGAAGGAUCCUCUUGAAAGAUACAUCUAAAGAAACAUUUCUGUGCUUUACAUAGUACCCACCCCGCUUUGGGAACAACACAACUCAAGAAUAGCUGAAAAUGAGGAAAACAUGAAGACAGAAGAAAUGCAAGCACAGAUUUUUCUCAUUAUAUAUGAACCCAGCACAUAAUUUCGAUUCAGUUACUAAGAUUCUACAUUUCUGGAAGACUUGUCUGAUUUUUUUCCCCACACUCUCCCUCCCUCUUCAUACACAUUCUUGCACGCACACAAUAAAAUUUGCUUGUGCCAAG